rnacentral:tRNA from 1 species
GAGCGCUUGUUGUAGUAGUUGGUUAUCACGUAUCGUUAACACCGAUAAGGUCACCGGAUCGAGCCCGGCACUGGUCU